CAGCAGUGGGGAAUAUUGCACAAUGGGCGCAAGCCUGAUGCAGCCAUGCCGCGUGUGUGAAGAAGGCCUUCGGGUUGUAAAGCACUUUCAGCGGGGAGGAAGGCGUUAAGGUUAAUAACCUUGGCGAUUGACGUUACCCGCAGAAGAAGCACCGGCUAACUCCGUGCCAGCAGCCGCGGUAAUACGGAGGGUGCAAGCGUUAAUCGGAAUUACUGGGCGUAAAGCGCACGCAGGCGGUCUGUCAAGUCGGAUGUGGAAUCCCCGGGCUCCACCUGGGAACUGCAUUCGAAACUGGCAGGCUAGAGUCUUGUAGAGGGGGGUAGAAUUCCAGGUGUAGCGGUGAAAUGCGUAGAGAUCUGGAGGAAUACCGGUGGCGAAGGCGGCCCCCUGGACAAAGACU
rnacentral:rRNA from 1 species